CAGAUACACUAUGACCAGAUGCCUCAUGCUCCUGCAUCCAUGAUGGCCAUGAUGUGUGAUACGCUCAAACUGGUCAGCCUUACCUGCGGAGUAAAGCUGGAAGCCACUGAUGGUGUGACCCAGGAACAAGAAGGAUGCUCCCUCUGCUAGAGUCAGCAAGAACACAGACUGGGACAAAUCCCAAUGUUACAUCUUCCUGAACAUUCUACUCCCUAAACCAGUUCCUGCC